CGGGACGGGUGAGUAAUGUCUGGGAAACUGCCUGAUGGAGGGGGAUAACUGCUGGAAACGGUAGCUAAUACCGCAUAACGUCGCAAGACCAAAGAGGGGGACCUUCGGGCCUCUUGCCAUCGGAUGUGCCCAGAUGGGAUUAGCUAGUAGGUGGGGUAACGGCUCACCUAGGCGACGAUCCCUAGCCGGUCUGAGAGGAUGGCCAGCCACACUGGAACUGAGACACGGUCCAG
rnacentral:rRNA from 1 species